rnacentral:lncRNA from 1 species
CCGGCUCGGCUCUGAUGGAGGCGGCGCCGAAUUCGGCUGCGCUGAGCAUCCCGGGUUGUUGGUAAAGAUCUUGGUGCCUGGAAGGUCAGAGCUUCGUCUCCUGAAAUGGUUUAUGCCCUGGCGCCACGUUCUGUGGCUUAUAAUCACUUUCGUCCUCGCCGCAUGAGGAAGCAAAUGACACCGCCCCUUACCCUGGAAAAGUGGCUGCAGCCUUCCCUGGAUCUUAGUUUUACUCACCCCGAAGUCAAUUUCUCGGUAACUCCACCCUGCAAAACCUCUGUGGGACUCAUCUUCAGGGCAGAGCUAACAGUUUU